rnacentral:lncRNA from 1 species
AGUUGCUGUUGCUGUUGUAGCUGCUGCUGCUGCUGCUGCUGAAGUUGCUGUUGCUGUUGCAGCUGCUGCUGCUGCUGAAGCUGCUGUAAAGAGCCCAUGGGCUGAGCGCUCAGUUUGGGCUGCCCACUGUGUGACAUCAGACUCUGCUGAAGAUGGGACAGCCCUGCCAUGGACCCUUGCUGUUGGUGCUGUUGUUGCUGCUGCUGCUGCUGGGCUGUGACCAGCCUGUGUCCCAUAAGGCCCUGACCCUGCUGUGCCAGCUGGGGGGAACUGAGCACCCGGGACUGGGUCAUAAGCACCUGUCUGUGAGGGCCCUGGGGGCCCAAAGCUCCAGGGUGCUGCUGCUGCAACACAGCCACCUGGGCAGGGCCCAGCAUGCCCUGGGGCCCCUGGGGUGGUUGAGGGGACAGCUGCUGGACCAGGAGGCCUUGGUGGCUGCUGGGAGGCAUAAGGCCCUGGGGCUUGGGACCCAGAGCUUGGUUUGUCUGUACUCCAGGACCCUGCUGCUGUUGCUGCUGGAUUGCCACCUGUCCUAGAAGGUGCUGCUGCUGCUGUUGCUGCUGCUGCUGCUGCUGCAGUUUCUGGGCCAGCUGCAUACGUUGCUGCUGCAGCUGCAGCUGCCUUUCCUGUAAAAGCCUUGAAUCAGGUCCGAGGCUUCGAAGAGCAAGGUUGCCAGGGAAGAAGCCCCCUGAAGGGCCAGCCAGGGAUCCAG